CUGAGGUAUCGCAAAAUUUCUGCACGAGCGUAAGUGGCAGCGUGAACCAUGGGAGACGUUGGAAAAAGAAAUGGAACACCCAGGGCUCCUCCGCUCUCCCACCCCACCCUUGGUUCAGCCACACGUCCCUCAACUUCUAACUACAGCCAGCUCUCUAACUACAGUUGUGGCCCGUGCACCACAACUACUGAGCCCAUGUGCCACAACUACUGAAGCCCGCGUGCCUAGAGCCCAUGCUCCACAGCAAAGAGAAGCCCACACAGUAAGAAGCCUGCGCACCGCAACUAAGAGUAGCCCCCGCUCGCCGCAACUAGAGGAAGCCUACGUGCAGCAACAAAGACCCAAUGCAGCCAAAAAUAAAUUAAUUUAAAAAAAAACUAAAUAGUAAAGUUAACUUCUGACAACUUGUAUAUUUUUAAAGUAAAUUUAUUAUUAUUCAGUAUAAUAUAUAUUAUUCCAUCUCACUCAAAUUUUUUAAAAAUUGGAGUAUAAUUGCUUUACAAUAUUGUGUUAGUUUCUUGCUGUACAGCAAAGUGAAUCAGCCAUACAUAUACAUAUAUCCCCUCUUUUUUGGAUUUCAUUCCCAUUUAGGUCACCACAGAGCCUUGAGUAGAGUUCCCUGUGCUAUACAGUAGGUUUUCAGUUAUUUUAUAUAUAGUAGUGUAUAUAUGUCAAUCCCAACUUGUAUAUUUUUAAAAAAUGGAAAGCAGAAGGGACAAAAUGGUUAGUUUCUAUAUUAUAUAUGCAAAGAGAAAAUGUGCAAAGCUACUACAAUCCUUUUCUCUGU